UGUACCGACCCCUGCCGACGUGACGUUCGAUUGUCGGUGCUGAGCGGAUUGCAGAAUCACCGCUUAAAAUAUUGCCCACCUGUUGUCGAACACCCUGUAUAUUACUUCGGAGCCCUCGACGCCUGGCAUACUGGUGACCAUCUCGAGCGUCUAGCAUGUGGUCGAUACCAGGGGCACACCCGGCGCCGGCCCCUCCUCGGGCCACGUGCAAUGGCGUCUGGAGCCCCCACUUUAGAGAAAUUUUGCAAUGUAUUUAUUGAUAAGGAAUAGAAACAGAUGCUCUUCAAAUGCACCAAAUUUAUUAAUUUGAAUAAUUACCUGAAUGCGUACAUCGAAAAAGAAACAGACAAACACAAAAACAACAAUUGGAAUCAGAUUAUACCAGAAACUUGACCAGUUAUCGAUUUGGAAAGAAGUAACAAAUGCA